rnacentral:misc_RNA from 1 species
GAUGAAGAACGUAGCAAAAUGCGAUAAGUAAUGUGAAUUGCAGAAUUCAGUGAAUCAUCGAAUCUUUGAACGCACAUUGCGCCCGCUGGUAUUCCGGCGGGCAUGCCUGUUCGAGCGUCAUUUCAACCCUCAAGCCCCCGGGUUUGGUGUUGGGGAUCGGCUCUGCCCUUCUGGGCGGUGCCGCCCCCGAAAUACAUUGGCGGUCUCGCUGCAGCCUCCAUUGCGUAGUAGCUAACACCUCGCAACUAGAACGCGGCGCGGCCAUGCCGUAAAACCCCAACUUCUGAAUGUUGACCUCGGAUCAGGUAGGAAUACCCGCUGAACUUAAGCAUAUCAAUAAGCGGAGGA